rnacentral:rRNA from 1 species
AAGGAGUGGCGAACGGGUGAGUAAUACAUAAGCAACCUACCCACGAAGACUGGGAUAAUCUCUGGAAACGGGGACUAAUACCGGAUAGGUAAUCGGAAGGCAUCUUCUGAUUAUUAAAGGUUAAAAACACUGGUGGAUGGGCUUAUGGCGCAUUAGUUAGUUGGUGAGGUAACGGCCCACCAAGACGAUGAUGCGUAGCCGGCCUGAGAGGGUGAACGGCCACAUUGGGACUGAGACACGGCCCAGACUCC